rnacentral:rRNA from 1 species
GUUUACGGCCAUAUCACAUUAAAUGCAUCGGUUCUUGUCCGAUCAUCGAAAUUAAGCAGCGUCGAGCCUAAUUAGUUCUUUGAUGGGUGACCGCUUGGGAAACCUAAGAUGCUGUAAGCA